GCUUACGGCCAUACCACCCUCUCUGCACCCGAUCUCGUCUGAUCUCGGAAGCUAAGCAGGGUUGGGCCUGUUUAGUACUUGGAAGGGAGACCGCCUGGGAAUACAAGGUGCUGUAAGCU
rnacentral:rRNA from 1 species